AAAAAAAAACUCUACGAAAUUUGGUGAGGCCUUUGCCUUUGUUGAAUUCCUUCGAGUUUCAAUUUCAACACUUCAACGAAAGAGAAAACGUCAAAGAGAAACGUGCCUUGUUCCUCUUUUGACUUUUGGGCAUUAAGAGAUCUUAGCCCACUUAGAAUAUUCACUAAUGAUAGACAAGGCCCAUCUUGGUCCAACUUGAAGAAAACAAUUUGUCGUACCUUGACCUUUCUUUUCCUCACCCGUCGACCAUCGUAAGAUGAUUUUGCCGGCCACCAUCCAGAUGUUAUCCGGUGACUUAUAUGGCCACCACAUCUCCGUGAUUCUCUCUCACCGUGCGUCUCUUCCUCGACAGCAAAACCCAAGGCUUCUUCUUCUCCGACUCGUUCUACUCGUGACGGCGCCGUCUUCUCUUUCACGACGUCGUCGGAAACUCGAGCCACUCCGCCGGAAUCUCAGCCUUCUCCGGUGAGAAUCUCUCUGAAUUCCUUGUCGUCGAUCUCUGAACACCACAAGAGCUCAUGACGAGCUUCCUCCGCGAAACCCAGAUUUCAAAAGAAAUCUUGCAUCUUCUUCUGUCUUCUACUCUCAAUGCUUCCAGAAGGUCACACUUCAAUCUUCUUAGAUGGACAAGACACUCCGUCUUCUAUGAGAUAUAAUCUCCAAACCAUCUUUCUUCUCUAGAGCUGCACUUCCCGAAGCCAUUGCUUGAUAAAGGUGUGACCUUUUUCGACAAAACUUGCAUCUUCUUCAUAAAGCUUGAAUCUUUCUCAAGAAACUUGAAGAUUCUGGAUAAAGCUUGAGUCUUUCAGCACUAACCUGUGCUCUGAUACCACUUGUAGAGGUUUUUAGCCUCUCAAAGGCUCAAGCUUUAUCUCAUUUGUCAUCAACACCAUAUUACGGAAACAAAUCAAGUAAAGUAUCGAGAAGAGGAGGAAGAUAAAAUAGAGCAAGAUGAAGGAAGAAGAGGAGCACACAAAGGAUUUGUUAACCCGGUUCACGGCAUUAACGAGCCGCUACGUCCGGUUAGGAUCGAUAGAUCCACAACUUCACUAUGAAGAAGAAGGUAUUACAAACAAGAAGCAACAAGUGACCCGUCUAAUACCCUUCACUAGUACUUAGACUCACUCUGUACCACUUCCUGUAUAACUCAGAGAACAACAAUGACAAGCUUAUACUAAUACAUGUUUUCUCUCAUCUCUAUACCUUACUAACUCUUCUUCUUAGAUCUACAUUGUGCUAUUGCUCUCUCUCUCUACUCCCUUCUCCCUUAGCUUCUCUCAAUGAAGAUAAGCACCUAUAUAUAGAGACAGCUAACUAGGGCUUCCUUGUGCUAAAACAAACCGCAACCCUUUUGAGCACAAACAGACAAAACGGAGAGGCUCCCCUUUGUGGUCCCAAAAGUAUCCCAACCCAACUUUAACUUGACUAGAGUUAAGCCUUGAGUUGCUUUUGAUCUUCAUUUGCUUGAGAAACAAGUUCUCAUCUCCACACACACUCUGUUCGUCUUCGCUACCCUUCUCUUCCUCUACUCUACGCCACCGAUUUUAGAUCACUCUCAAUUAGGCUUCCUCCAAUCACUGACUUUUGACAGUGUUUUGCGCUUGGACAUUGGUUUUACUCUCACUGUGAUUUAUGUUUGGAUAAGAAAUCUGGAGUUUUAGCUGCUCUGUUAUGUUUUUUCUUGUUGGAUUGGCUCUAGCUUCCUCGCAGCUCGAUUAGGACAUUCCUUGACCUUAAAGGUGAGCCCAUUAAUCCAAUUAUGGUUCCCUCAUGCAUUUUAAGCUCAAUUUCUUACAUGCUUUGACUUGAAAGCCUUCUUGUGUUCUCUGCUCAGAGUGAUCUUGAUUCUAAUGUUUCUGUGGAGCUCUUGUUUUCUUUGGUAUAUAUGCUGAUGAUGAUAAUGGAACGUCAAUGUCUUGUCUCCGAACUUUAAUGAUCACUUGUCUGGAUAUAAUGUGGUCCUUCCAUGUUCAAAUGCAAUGUCUAUAUCACCUGGUUAAAACAAAGUUGCGUUUUUCUUCUUUUGCAUAGCAAAAAGUUAUAUCUUUUGUAAUCUGACUCGCUUUCUCAGCUCUUGUGUUGGAGUGGUCAGUUCCUCGGUCACGGCUUGUUUGAGAAACGAGCUCCUGCACUUUUUAAUAAUCUACUCCAAGCUUUUCUGAUGGGUCCUUUCUUCGUGUUGCUCGAGGUGUUGCAGUCUGUUUUCGGGUACGAACCAUACUCUGGAUUUAAAGCACGCGUCAACUCCAAGAUAGAGAGUGAAAUCAAAGAAUGGAGAGAAAGUAAAGAGAAGAAGAAGAAGAAGGUCACUUAAGCUCCAAUGUGGUCAUUGUGAUUCGGAAAAUUGUUCCCUUCACUUUUCUUUACACAACAAUUGUUCCUUUCAUUUAUUAUUAGGAAUACUAGAUAAUUUAAUUUCUUAGAAAUUAAAAUCAAAUUUAAGAA